rnacentral:rRNA from 1 species
AUACGGAGGAUCCGAGCGUUAUCCGGAUUUAUUGGGUUUAAAGGGUGCGCAGGCGGCCCUUUAAGUCAGCGGUUAAAUCGUGGGGCUCAACCCCAUUCUGCCGUUGAUACUGGGUGGCUUGAUUGCGGUCGAGGUUGGCGGAAUUCGUUGUGUAGCGGGGAAAUGCAUAGAUAUGACGAAGAACACCGAUUGCGUAGGCAGCUGACCAGAUCGCAAAUGACGCUCAUGCACGAAAGUGCGGGGAUCGAACAGGAUUAGAUACCCUGGUAGUCCGCACAGUAAACGAUGAAUACUUGUUUUCGGCGAUAUAAUGUCGGAGGCAAAGCGAAAGCGAUAAGUAUUCCACCUGGGGAGUACGCCGGCAACGGUGAAACUCAAAGGAAUUGGCGGGG